rnacentral:RNase_MRP_RNA from 12 species
CUCUUGGGGAAAUUCCCCGGACGCAAAGGCAGAGAGUGCCAGCCCGGAGGGGCUACCGGCGAUUGAGCCGCUCGUUCGCGACGACGGUCCGUCCUGCGGACAAGAGCAUGGAGAGUCGGCCUUUUGCCGCCGUCACAGCAAAGUUAUGCCAUCUGGAGAUACUCAACGGGGAUUA